AUCAGCAGUCAUACCAUCUGCAGUUCAGACCAGGUGAUCCACCUUGAAGCUAAGCUGGUUUGGGCUUGAGCAGUUUUUGGAUGGGAGACCAACUAGGAAAACUGGGUUGCAGCUCGCU
rnacentral:rRNA from 1 species